rnacentral:rRNA from 1 species
AUUGAACGCUGGCGGCAGGCCUAACACAUGCGAGUCGAGCGGAUGAAGGGAGCUUGCUCCUGGAUUCAGCGGCGGACGGGUGAGUAAUGCCUAGGAAUCUGCCUGGUAGUGGGGGAUAACGUCCGGAAACGGGCGCUAAUACCGCAUACGUCCUGAGGGAGAAAGUGGGGGAUCUUCGGACCUCACGCUAUCAGAUGAGCCUAGGUCGGAUUAGCUAGUUGGUGGGGUAAAGGCCUACCAAGGCGACGAUCCGUAACUGGUCUGAGAGGAUGAUCAGUCACACUGGAACUGAGACACGGUCCAGACUCCUACGGGAGGCAGCAGUGGGGAAUAUUGGACAAUGGGCGAAAGCCUGAUCCAGCCAUGCCGCGUGUGUGAAGAAGAUCUUCGGAUUGUAAAGCACUUUAAGUUGGGAGGAAGGGCAGUAAGUUAAUACCUUGCUGUUUUGACGUUACCAACAGAAUAAGCACCGGCUAACUUCGUG